rnacentral:rRNA from 1 species
AACGAACGCUGGCGGCAUGCCUAACACAUGCAAGUCGAACGUGAUCCAGGCUUCGGCCUGGUGAAAGUGGCAGACGGGUGAGUAACGCGUGGGAACCUGCCCUGUGGUAGGGAAUAACCGUGGGAAACCGCGGCUAAUACCCUAUGAGUCCUUCGGGAGAAAGAUUUAUCGCCAUAGGAGGGGCCCGCGUCGGAUUAGGUAGUUGGUGGGGUAACGGCCUACCAAGCCUUCGAUCCGUAGCUGGUCUGAGAGGAUGAUCAGCCACACUGGGACUGAGAUACGGCCCAGACUCCUACGGGAGGCAGCAGUGGGGAAUAUUGGACAAUGGGGGCAACCCUGAUCCAGCAAUGCCGCGUGGAUGAUGAAGGCCUUCGGGUUGUAAAGUCCUUUCGGCGGGGAAGAUGAUGACGGUACCCGCAGAAGAAGCCC